GCAAGCCAGUGCCCGGAGCUUGUCCAGAUGUGUAGGGAAGAACCGGCACCAGCUGCCCCUGAGGCGGGUGCAGGCCGCCACAGUGCACAGGCCGGUCCAUCUGUGGGCUGCUGCACAUGGCUGUCUUCCUAGGCGGUGGCAGCAGCCAUGAGGAUCUCGUCCCAGCAGCUGCUGCUGUGGACCAGGCCUUGCACGGAUCUUGAGGCUGCCCCAGCCACUCAUCUAUGAGGGUCGGAGCAGCUGAAGCACAAUGCGAUCCAGGGAAAUGACCCACAGCCCAGGGUGUUGGCUCGAGGGGUGUGUCCCAGAGUGUGAGCUGUGUCCACCCACACGUGUGCAGGUGUGUUUGUGGGAACCUCAUUGAGAAGAGCCUGCAAUCAGCAGCAAGCUGGACACCCCUCAGCCUCGAAGUAGAGUCAUCGGAGGGAGCACUGCACCCCAGCAUGGGCCACAGCAUGCUGGAUCAGAACUUCUGAGAAUGUCACCUGCUGCCAAGCACGAGGUCAUAGAGGACAAGCACACAAGACAAGCUGGCGCUGUGGCUCUGGGCCCUGGCCCCUCAGGGCCAGCUGGGCAGUUGACCAAGCAGGCGAAGGCAGCCUGCUGGGAUCCAGGUGCUGGGCCUGGGACUGGGAGGAUCCAAGAUCAUGGUCUCUGUGAGUUUCCACGAGAGAGAUUUCAGCUACCGAACCAAACCCAACCAGCCAGACCCGCUCGUCCCCUCCGGCCACAUGUUGCGUGGCCGCCCGGCCUUGCCUCAUCCCCUGAACCUGCAGAGUUGACUCCAGGCUCCCGUGAGGGUGGCCUGCUGGGUCAAGGCCCCGUGGUCCUCCCAGCCUGCUCCAUUCUCUCCCCCUUUGGCGCCAGGCCUGGCCAGGGACCCCCACUCAGACCCCUGCUCACCCGCCAUGUUCCCCUGCAGCUUCUCGCGCUCACAUGUGGACCCAGACCUGAAGGCUCUUGCCAGAAGGAAUUGGGACACCUGUUAAAUAUUCCUUUACAGACUGUCGUAAACCUGUGGGAUGGAAACACGAGUCUUUAAGUUCUGGUGGUUCAUUGUUUGACACAGGCUGGGAGUCCCUGGGGACCUCGGCUGGCCGUGCUCUCCUGCAGGGCUUCUGUGGACUUCCCUCCGCCUCCCUCUGUCCACCAGGAUUCUCCGCUCACUCUCACUGGCCCUCCGCCACUGCAGGGCACUGCUUCCGAGUCAGACUCUGAAAUCAGGGCGGUCUCAAGCACAGGAGCAGGAAGGAGAGGGCCACCUGGGCCGGGAGGCCUGGCCCGUGUCGCCCGGCCAGCUUUCCUGUCAAGUGGGCUUGGCCAAGCGUGUCCCUGGAAAAUAAAGCUGUGCUCUGAAUGGCCAAAAGGAAAAUUGAAGAGCACACUGGUGUGAACUCGGAGGCAGCUUCAGGAGUCCCAUGAGCUGGGUUCUGGUGGGAAGGAGAUGAAACAUGAUGCAAACUCAUUUCCAGCCCAAGCUCUAGGAGGCCGUUGGUCAGAAGCCUCCAACCCCAGGCUAGAGCCCAGUUGCUGCUGUGCUGGGCGCUGCUGGGGGGACUGCCACAGACCCCAACGGCCAGGGGCCUGUGGUGGACAGCCAGCUCCCUGCCCACUGACACCUGGCCCGGCAGUCC
rnacentral:lncRNA from 1 species